AUGGCGCAAUCUGACGUAAAAAUCAUCUGCUGGAACGUCCGUGGACUUAACUCGCACGCUCGCCGUGACGCUGUUCGCGAUAUCGUUCGCGACUCCCACACCUCCAUCGUCUGUCUCCAAGAGACGAAGCUACAACUAGUUGACGACUCCAUCAUCAGGGAGAUGCUUGGACCUUGCUUCACCGCCAAUUACUUUGUCUUGCUUGCAUCCGGCACUAGAGGAGGAAUGAUC
rnacentral:rRNA from 1 species